UCAUUGUUAAUGGUUUGUUAAUAGUGAGAAUUUGACCUUGAAAUAAAGUAUGUCCAAUAGCAACUUUCAUUUCUCUUAUUUCCCAAAAAUUCUUAUUUUUAUUUUUAUUUUCAUUUUUAUAAUAGCUUGUUUGUGAUAAUAACUUGCAACGCAUGUGUUAUAGUUAACAGCAAAAUGCUGACGCAAACUCAUCUCAUGAGAGAGGGAUGUUUAUCCUGGUAUGAUUGUCAUGGGUAGUUUACAACCAAUUAAGCAAUCACGUUUGUCAGUAAAGACAAUCACAGAGAUUACUGUCUGUAAUCACCAGUUCCUCAAAACAUCCUGCCUUAAAUGAACAUACACUCCUACACACACUCCCCUACAUGUUCAGCGCAGGGUUUAUAUGAAACUAUACCAAAAUGCAGUAUUAUAGAACAACUGAGAUAUCAUUUCAACAUGACCUUUCAGUUCGGUCCAUCUGUGUUGUUAUAGUUUCUGACUAAUCUGAACAUCUUAGCAUUGUCUGACAAAUCACCUGUACAAAUAUGAGGAAACAGCAUACUGUAUAUCAGGUGCGGUGGGCCAGUAUGUGUGGGACCGGUGGGAGUGGCAAGGCGCCAGGCUGCCCUUAUCAGCCCCUACGGCCCAGUCACCACUCCCGAGAGACGGUCGGGGAGGGAGCGAGGAGUCCCUUUGUUGUUUUCUCUGAUCUACGACUGGCCUUUAUGGCAUGCUCUAGAUCACUAUCACUGUGGGAAAGACAGAAAGAAGGCCCAGGGAGGGUGUGCGUGUGUGUUUAUGUGUGUGAUCAACUGAACAACCUCUGCCUUUGACUCUCCGGCAACUAUCGCAGGGCCUGCUGCCGCUGAUAUUGCUCAUAAAGAAGCUCCCAGUCAGCUGCAGGGAUGCAAGUGGAUGAUAAGAGUGAACUUUGACCUCUCGGUUCAGCAGUCACACUAGCAACAACAGACAUCAAUGAAGUCAUGAGAGUUGGAAGCCAAUGUGCCCAGACAGGAAAGCUGACCAUUCUCCCCCAAUACCAUAAACAUGAGCCGUCUGUGGCCGUGAGGUCAUCUAGCAAUCUGUAGAAGGUUGGGCUGGUAGCUGAGUCAUAAAUGAGUUCAUGCAGGUGCUGUCAGAGAAUGAGGGUAAAUCACCCCUCACUCAUAUGACCUCAGCACCCCACGCACUCAAUUAAAGACCUAAUGAGUCACCCAGCCAACCAGGUUAGACAUGCAAUAAAUGAAUAAGGCUGCACUGGCACCAGUGAUGUCACCUGUAUUUGAAAAUAAAAUGAUAGGGCCACAAAACCAUCAGGGCACUGGAGACCAAGUUUAAGUCAGCUGAACUUUAAACCGCAUAGAGAAGCUGGUCUGGAGUCGCUGACAGCUUGGGUUAUUGUGUUAUGGGGGUUGACACUUAUGAUCAUAGUUGUUUUUGCUACAUUCAGACUCUUAAAUGAUACUCAAGGGACCCACCCUGGACGGAUGAAAAUAAUUUACAAUGAUGUGUGAGCUACAACAAGAGGAGUGAUCAGAAAAUAAAAUGUGUCAUUUCCAAGAGCAAUGGAGAGUACCAAGACUUUUACAGGUCUUAUGUGCCCUGAGCACAAAGUUAACCUCUGAUGAAGUGAGAACAUAAAUUUGACUCACACAGACUUAGGAAAGAGAAGUCAUACAGGUUUCGAAUGAAAUGAGGUAGACUAUUGGGUGAGGGGUCAUAAACUGAAUGAAGAGGGCAUCUGUGGUGAUCCGUGAAAGGGGACGAGGAGAGAACAAAAGAUGGAUUCCUCUUGGUCACAAAGGAGACAGACACAAGGCCUGAAAGAUUGCCCAAACCAUCUACUGUCGACAAUGACAAGUUUCUAAGAACAAGCGAGGAUAAGGGGGGAUCGGUGGGAGAUAAGCUGUGGUCCUGAGCAGAGAUUUGAGCAUGAGCCGCUAAUUCCACUCUGCUUAGCACACAAUUAAUUUCUCUCUCUGCCAGUGUAGCCUUGCUCCAAAUGAGCUCAGAGACUUUUAACCCAAUCUUAAAUGAUCAAACAGUGGGCUGAACAGAUGCCACAAGACAAAAAAAAAAUUAUAAUAAUAAUACAAAUGCUCAAUGAAAGGUAUAAGAAUCUAUCUAAAAAAAGAGAGAGAAAAUUAAUGGUCAAAACUUUUUUACUCAGAAAUUAUUUAGAUUCAAAAAUAAUUACAAGGAAAUGGCAAGUAUCACAUUGAACUGAAACAUGACAUUUUAAACUAGAACUGAAAUAGUAUUUUCUUGCAAAACAAGUAAAUUAAACUGUUUUAUAAAAUAUUUUUUUUACCGACAAUAGCUCAUGUUUGAACUACUACCUUUAAUAUUACCAAACUUUUUACAUUUUGACUUUUGGCAGCUGGUGUAAUAUUGUCUCUUGUAUCAUUUAUGCUUAAUAUUACAACAUUUGUAUAAGAAGUUUAAGAUUACUCUCAGCGCACCCUAAUGAGCAGGAUGGAGAGAUUUAUCAGUGGUGUUCCCAAAGUUGUUAACAAAUCUAUACAAUGUAUGCAUGUAGCGUAAAGAUGUCACUUUUGUUGAAAAUGUUUUGUUGACAUGAUUUGGAUUUCCUGGGUCUAAAUCCUUGAUUUGGGGAGCAGAGGAAAUUCUUUGUCACAAAAAGCAACAAUAUAGCUACCCAUGCUGAAAACGAUGCCCCUGCUGACUUUUACAUGGCAGUCAAUGUAGCAAGAAGCUAAUGCUCCAAUAGGCUUAGUGAGUAACAAAAGUAUCCAGCCUCUGAGAGAGUCAGCCAAUAUUCCUGGGCCUAUUAAAGCACCUGCUGGUUGCCCCAGUGGCUCAGGAACUCCUCUCUUCCGAUGGACAGCUCAGGGGUCUAGAUUAGACACCUGCAGCGCAGACAUCCUCCGGGCUUCCUUCUCUUUAAGGACACCCCACAGGAUAUCAUGUCCUAUAUCUACAACCCUAUAGCUACACUCAAAAAUUAAGAAGAUAUGUCCCUCCCCCCAUUAUACCUCAUUCUUUGGCAUUUCACAUUGGUGCUCAAAAAUGAAUUGUUUCUGAAAACUUGAACAUUAAGAACUGAAGGUGU